AAAUUGAAGAGUUUGAUCAUGGCUCAGAUUGAACGCUGGCGGCAGGCCUAACACAUGCAAGUCGAACGGUAACAGGAAGCAGCUUGCUGCUUUGCUGACGAGUGGCGGACGGGUGAGUAAUGUCUGGGAAACUGCCCGAUGGAGGGGGAUAACUACUGGAAACGGUGGCUAAUACCGC
rnacentral:rRNA from 1 species